UACGGGGGGAGCAAGCGUUGUUCGGAUUUACUGGGCGUAAAGGGCGCGUAGGCGGUCAGCACAAGUCAGUUGUGAAAUCUCCGGGCUUAACUCGGAAAGGUCAACUGAUACUGUGCGACUAGAGUGCAGAAGGGGCAACUGGGAAUUCUCGGUGUAGCGGUGAAAUGCGCAGAUAUCAGGAGGAACACCGGUGGCGAAGGCGGGUCUCUGGGCAGUAACUGACGCUGAGAAGCGAAAGCGUGGGGAGCGAACAGG
rnacentral:rRNA from 1 species